rnacentral:lncRNA from 1 species
CAAAGUCUUUAGCACUGCUCUUAUCUUAUAUCCUAGAUCCCAACAAGUUUAAGACAAAUAGCAGGAGCAUUCACUUUGGAGCAAUGAUUGAGCUUUGGCAAGACUUUUUUCAUUGUGAACUGAGCAGAACCUUUCACACCCAGGAGGUGAAAGUGGAUGUCUAGAAUUAAUACACAUUCUUCCUUCAGAAUUUAAAAGUGAAAUUGCACUACUGUAUUCUGCCUGAAACAAGCAUAACAUUGACUGACUGGAACUCAGAAUUUUUGUCUGUGGUCUCUUAUUUUCAAUCAUUUUGCCUUUGUCUGAACUUAUUAUUUUGGUGUCAAGUCUGAGGUUUUAAGCCAGGGAUUGGGCCCUGUGGUGCUUUGUGGAAAAAGGCAUAAGGC